AGCAGCCGCGGUAAUUCCAGCUCCAAUAGCGUAUAUUAAAGUUGUUGCAGUUAAAAAGCUCGUAGUUGAAUUUCGGGAUCAAUUAGUCGGUCGUGCCUCUGGUACGUACUGGUUUUAUUGGUUCCUCCCUUCUGACGAAACAUGAUGUCAUUAAUUUGGUGUCGUGGAGAAUCAGGACUGUUACCUUGAAAAAAUUAGAGUGUUUAAAGCAGGCUUUAGCUUGAAUACAUUAGCAUGGAAUAAUGAAAUAGGACGUUUGAUCCUAUUUUGUUGGUUUCUAGGAUUGACGUAAUGAUUAAUAGGGAUAGUUGGGGGCAUUAGUAUUCAAUUGUCAGAGGUGAAAUUCUUGGAUUUAUUGAAGACUAACUACUGCGAAAGCAUUUGCCAAGGAUGUUUUCAUUAAUCAAGAACGAAAGUUAGGGGAUCGAAGACGAUCAGAUACCGUCGUAGUCUUAACCAUAAACUAUGCCGACUAGGGAUCGGAUGAUGUUAAUUUUUAAUGACUCAUUCGGCGCCUUAA
rnacentral:rRNA from 1 species